GACAAGUUUCUUCCAACAACAUAUUUAUUAAAAACUAUUCAAUUGAUGGAAACAUAAAUAGAGGGACUUUAGUAUAUAAUAAUGUGAUCAAUCCAUUUUAUAUAUGUUACAUAAAAAGUGCGAUGUGCAAGUACUAACGAGUGUUAUACAACAUUUAAGUUUGCUCCUCGAGGAAGUAUGAGGUGCCUUGAAGGUUAUUGUAAACACCUCAAAAAUUUUAAGGCUAAACAUAGUGAAAAGAGAAACAGAU